rnacentral:rRNA from 1 species
UACGUAUGUCGCAAGCGUUAUUCGGAAUCACUGGGCGUAAAGAGUUCGUAGGCGGACUUUCAAGUCAGAGGUGAAAUUUUGGGGCUUAACCCCGAAACUGCCUUUGAAACUGUUAGUCUUGAGUAUGUGAGGGGAUGAUGGAAUUCCAGGUGUAGCGGUGGAAUGCGUAGAUAUCUGGAAGAACACCGGUGGCGAAGGCGGUCAUCUGGCACAAUACUGACGCUGAGGAACGAAAGCGUGGGGAGCGAACAGG